GCAAGUCGAGCGGUAAGCUAACUUCGGUUAGCCUAGAGCGGCGGACGGGUGAGUAACGCGUAAAGAAUUUGCCCUUCAGACUGGGACAACUAACCGAAAGGUUAGCUAAUACCGGAUAUUAUGAGACCUUGGCAUCAAGGACUUAUGAAAGCUAUAUGCGUUGGAGGAGAACUUUGCGUCCCAUUAGGUAGUUGGUAGGGUAAUGGCCUACCAAGCCAACGAUGGGUAGCCGGCCUGAGAGGGUGAUC
rnacentral:rRNA from 1 species